CAGUAGCCACGGGAAUACGAAGGGGGCUAGCGUUGCUCGGAAUCACUGGGCGUAAAGGGUGCGUAGGCGGGUUUUUAAGUCAGAGGUGAAAUCCUGGAGCUCAACUCCAGAACUGCCUUUGAUACUGAAAGUCUUGAGUAUGGGAGAGGUGAGUGGAACUGCGAGUGUAGAGGUGAAAUUCGUAGAUAUUCGCAAGAACACCAGUGGCGAAGGCGGCUCACUGGCCCAUAACUGACGCUGAGGCACGAAAGCGUGGGGAGCAAACAGGAUUAGAUACCCCGGUAGUCCCUGUCUCUUAUAC
rnacentral:rRNA from 1 species